rnacentral:rRNA from 1 species
AGUGAACGCUGGCGGUAGGCCUAACACAUGCAAGUCGAACGGCAGCACAGUAAGAGCUUGCUCUUACGGGUGGCGAGUGGCGGACGGGUGAGGAAUACAUCGGAAUCUACUUUUUCGUGGGGGAUAACGUAGGGAAACUUACGCUAAUACCGCAUACGACCUACGGGUGAAAGCAGGGGAUCUUCGGACCUUGCGCGAUUGAAUGAGCCGAUGUCGGAUUAGCUAGUUGGCGGGGUAAAGGCCCACCAAGGCGACGAUCCGUAGCUAGUCUGAGAGGAUGAUCAGCCACACUGGAACUGAGACACGGUCCAGACUCCUACGGGAGGCAGCAGUGGGGAAUAUUAGACAAUGGGCGCAAGCCUGAUCCAGCCAUACCGCGUGGGUGAAGAAGGCCUUCGGGUUGUAAAGCCCCUUUGUUGGGAAAGAUAAGCAGCAGGUUAAUCCCCCGCUGUUCUGACGGUACCCAAAGAAUAAGCACCGGCUAACUUCGUG